rnacentral:rRNA from 1 species
UGGGGAAUAUUGGACAAUGGGCGCAAGCCUGAUCCAGCAAUGCCGCGUGUGUGAAGAAGGCCUGCGGGUUGUAAAGCACUUUAAGCAGGGAAGAAGGCUCUGGAGUUAAUACCUUUGGAGAUUGACGUUACCUGCAGAAUAAGCACCGGCUAACUCCGUG